rnacentral:lncRNA from 1 species
CGGCCGGCAGCUGAGCGGGGGAAACCCCUGCCUGGGAGCGGCGCGGGGCGCGGAUGCGGCCAGGCGCGGGGGGCCAAUGGCCGGGCCGGGGGCGAGAAGGCGCCGCGUGGCCGAGCAUCCCCCAGUGGUUACCUGCCAGCUCCAGCCUCCGCUCCGGGCUGCAGCGCAGGGGGCUGGAGGUGCCCCAGAGCAGUUUCCACUGCAAGAGUUAGAGGGUGGCAGCCCAAUUACCGGGCAGGCAAAGGAUGAAAUUCCUGGAUGCAGCUCUGCCGUUAAUCACUAGCCUCUUUCCAGUUAACGCCUGAUUUCAGAUUCCCCUUUUUCUCAGAAGCCCUUCUCUUCAGGCUGGGUCUCUCGCCAAGUGACUGGUAUGUCCCUGACAGGGGAGCCAAAAAUUAAUAAUGAA